CGAAGAGAUGACCCAGAGAACCCAGAUUGUUGCCAUUUUUUUUUUCUCAUUCUCACCCCAUUUUCCACCAUCUCUGGAGACUCUGCCACCCAGGAAGCUAGGGAAAGAUGGAGAAGUGAGGGGGGUGUGGGAGUGGGGGCUGGGUGAUGAGUUACAGCCAGGAAGUACCAGAGGUUGCGAGCAUGAGCUGGAUCAGAGCCCAGUGUUCUCAUCCCAGAGAAACAGGCCCGGAGCUGCUCCAACCCCCCAUCCACAUUCCCCCUCUCCCGGAUCCGCCUGUUCCUUCAUUUCCUUCCUCUGACCAGUAAUUUCUUUUGGUGCUGGAGGUUGAACCCAGAACCACUUGAACGCUUACCACGUGCUCUUUCUCCGACCUACACACCAAGGCUGGGUCUAAUCUAAUCUUCAGAGGAGUGUACAUGUCCCAUCUGCUCUUUACCUCUGGGGGACCUCUAGGUAUCCUCGAUUCCCUAGAGCGUCUGGGUCCUAAGCUGCCGUCAUCCUGGUGACUCCCGAGCAGUUCUGGCACAACACCGAUGGCUUUCCCUGUCUCAGACAAUGAAGGAGUUGGAAAUCCCACCCAGAACAGUGGGAGGAUGGCUCACAAGGGGAACGUGAGGGAUAACACGCAUCUCUUCUCCUGGUCAGCAUCAAACUCCCUCUCUGGAUAGCGCCUGCCCAUUUGGAGUUGCUCCUGUCUGCUGAACCCCAAGAUCAACCCCCCCCCCCCAGAGUACAGAAGUGGUUGUGUGGCUACAUUCCCCAGUUCAGAAAGGAAAACAGGGACUCCCACAUUCCCGGGCAGUUGAGCCACCCUCAGCUUGGACCAGCUUAGCUAGUGAUUUUGGUAUUCAUUAACUAUUCACCACCAGAAACAAAGACAGUGAUGGGCCACAAAGAACCUUCCAAAAGCCAGGUGUUGUCACUGGUGCUGGCUGUAGGCUGGGACUUCCACUGUCACGGCUGGGUUCAGUUUGGGAUCAGGUAAUAUGGUUUGGGGAUGAAGGCGUGGCUCAGUGGCUGGAGGGCUUGCUGAGCAUGGUUGAGGCCUGAGGUUUGAUCCUGCCCUCAAAAACCAGACUCUGUGGCACAAGCCUAUUAUCUUGGCCUCUGGAUGUGGAAAAGUAUCAGGAGGCCAAGGUCAUAUCUAUCUAUCUAUCUAUCUAUCUAUCUAUCUAUCUAUCUAUCUAUCUAUCUAUCUAUCUGUCUAUCUAUGGAGUUUGAAGUCUGGUAGCCUUCCCAAGACCCUGGCUCAAGAAAGCAAAAGCAAAAGCUAAGUGUGGUGGUAUGGUUGUAAUCCCAUCACUUGGUAGGCUGAGGCAGGGAGCUCAUUCUGAGUUCUAGACCAACCUGAUCCAAGUACAAAGCCUUAGGCCAGUCAGGAUGCCCUAGCAAGACAUUGCCUCAAAAACCAAACUGAUGGCAGAAGCGAUGUCUCAGUGCCCAAAGGUGCUGCCCCGAAGCCUGAAAACCUGAUUGCAUACCCAGGUCUCACGUGGUGGGAGGAGAGAAUCAAUCCUGUGAAGUUGUUCUCUUCCCUCCUCCUCUCCAUCGUGCAUGCACCUGUACACAUGCACACUAAAUAAAUAAACGCACAGUAAUAAUUUUUAAGAAACUUUUGGGCCAUCGAGAUGGCUCAGAGGGUAAAAGAUCUUGCUGCCAAACCCACCACAACCCUCAUGGUAGAAGAAGAGAACUGACUCCC
ensembl:lncRNA